AGAUGGGAUUUUCAUUUUCUCUAUGGUUUUAGUGUCAGAUAAACACAGCUUUCAUGUCGUGUACACACUGCGAUAUGACUGCACAUGGUUUCAUUGAGAGUUUCAUACUUAUAGGGUAAAAUUAUACCAUAACAUGAAAUCCGAAAGGCUGGAAUCAAGCAUUGGGCCAAUCUUGAAUUCCCUUCAAGGAGGUUCUAAGCUCCUGGGAGUGUGCACAGAGGUGCUCAUUAUAACAUGAUUUUCUUUGUAACAUGGACCAUUCAUGCGAACCUUGAGGAUUACAUUACAGGGAAGCACUGUUUUUCUGGGAAAUGUUUCCUCCCCGGAGAAUUGUAUCUGCCCCCCUCAUGCACAUUCGUCAUGCCGCCAGCUGUUCUCUGUUGUCGUCACUUGCAGACUGCAGGCUGGGCCCACUCAGGAGUGACUCUCGCCAGGGUGAGAGAAUCUUGCACGAGUGCCUGUCACUCACCAGCUAAGCAUGGAAAAGUACUCCUGGAAAUGUGGCUCCUGGACUCUCUUCUUCAUCCCAGACACCCUUGUGAGGCAGCUACAGUGGAGCCUUGCUGAGUUGUCUCCAGGAAGCUGUUCAUGCAAAGAAGAGCCACUGCAAAACACUCAAGUUUAACUUAGGAAAGUAAGACUAUAGAAUAUGAUGUAAUUCUGUAAAACAUUGCUAUUCUCUCCACUCUUUUGUUUUAUACCCUGAGUCAGGCUGGCUCAGGUAAACUGUCAUUGCCCCAGUGGUGCUGCCCAGGGACUGAAAUGAGAAUUUUUUCUUUUCCCCCGGCUUUAUUAAGCUUAGGUAACUAAGGAGCCUGGCAAAUCCAUAUAUAACUCAACCUCCCAUGGGCAUGGGGCAUGCUCUAUUCUAUCCAUGGGGUACAGAGUGAUCCAAAUUUCUCACCUGUAUGUAAACUCCUAGGACAACCCUCAAAUCAUAUAAAAUUUUAAUUAUUUACAAUUCUGCUGUAAUAAAGAUUUACCUCUUUCCCCCCAUUUAUUUAUUUACUCAAUUGUUUAUUUAUAUCAGUGUGGACUUAGGUACAUUUACUCCGUGUGUUGGCUUAUAACCCAGUACUACAUUAUUUUGUUGCACAAAUUAUUCCAACUUUGACCAUUGGGAGUUCUUUUAGAUGGG
rnacentral:lncRNA from 1 species